rnacentral:rRNA from 1 species
UACGUAGGGGGCAAGCGUUGUCCGGAAUCAUUGGGCGUAAAGCGCGCGCAGGCGGGCGUGUAAGUCAGAAGUGAAAUUCCGGGGCUCAACCCCGGAGCUGCUCCUGAUACUGCACGUCUGGAGACCGGUAGAGGCUGGUGGAAUUCCCGGUGUAGCGGUGGAAUGCGUAGAGAUCGGGAAGAACACCCGUGGCGAAGGCGGCCAGCUGGGCCGGUUCUGACGCUGAGGUGCGAAAGCGUGGGGAGCAAACAGG